ACGGUAUCUUGGUGUUUCCAUUAUUGAUCGUAGUAUAAGGAGAGCAAAUUGCAUUGGUGUGGAGUCAGCAAUCAGAGAGCGGUUGGAGGGAUGACAGGCUCGUGCCUUUUCUAUGAUAGAAAGAGUCAUUCUGGUGAGAUCUGUUCUAAGCUCCAUACUAAUUUAUCUCUUUUUAAAUUCAGUGUUGUCUAAGACUAUGAUUGGC
rnacentral:lncRNA from 1 species